rnacentral:lncRNA from 1 species
UGGAAUUCAGCCAAGUUUAUAGCUUACUUUAUCACAGAGGAGAGAGAAGAAUGAGGUAAAUUAUGGGUCGUUAAUUGACCCUUCAAAUCCUUUCUUUUUCUGCAAGCACUCUAUUCUUUUCUGUAUUCAUUCAUCAUUUAAAAGUUCCUAUAAAUCUAGCAAAUAUAUUAACCCAUGAUUCACCAACACUGGAUGGUUUGCUGAAACAGUCCCAUGUACCCGCUACAACUUCUCAUGUCAACAACGCAAAUCCACUAGUUAUUCUACAUCUAUAUUUCUUAAUCAAUAUUUUCAUUACUUAUGUCCAACACCCGGAGAAUCGUUGACUGCAGGAGAAGGUGGUGCAUACUCUGUGCUUCUCAAAAUUUUGCGCAGCUGCCAUGGAAUUACGACACCUCCACUGUUGGUGCAAUUGGUAGAAUUCAUCGAGUUCCAAGGAAGAUCUUCUGAAAAAGCAAAUCAAGAAAACAGAGUUAAGCCAGAGCCAGUCGUAAGGUAGGAUAUAUACACACAGCAUGAAGGACUUUAGAGUACUCGCUGCUGCUUUAGCGUUAUUUGGAGAGAGAACCGUUAGGAUGGGUAACGUGAGAACCAAUGCUAAUAGAAACCCUGGAGGUAAAGACUUCAUGAAGGAUAGAGGCAAUGA